rnacentral:RNase_P_RNA from 1 species
UUGGCUGGGUAACUGCGGCUGUCAUUUUUGGCAGUCGAGGAAAGUCCGGGCAUCACGGAAAAAAGGCGCCGGGUAACGCCCGGGCAUUCGAUUAUAUCGAAUGACGGCCAGUGCAACAGAAAACAAACCGCCAUUUAUAUGGUAAGGGUGAAAAGGUGCGGUAAGAGCGCACCGCGUUUUCGGUAACGGAAAUGGCAGUGUAAACCCCGCCUGAUGCAAAACCGAAUAGGGACUGCUUCAUAUGUUUUUUCCGCAUUUUGCAGUCCGGGUUGGUUGCUUGAGGUAUCUGGUAACAGAUAUCCCAGAUGAAUAGUUACCCAUGCCGGUUUUACCGGCGGGACAGAACCCGGCUUACAGGCCUC